AGGGUGGGACCCGCGGCCCCCCGAGGUGCUCCCAUCCCUGAUCCGGUCAAGUAAUAAUGGAGCCUUCUCCUUCAUCUCCUCCUCCAUUUACUGUCGCUGUCGCGAUUCAUUUCGGAUGUGUCUUCUACUUGUGCUCUGUUCUUUUCUUCCCCUGAAGCGUUUCUUUCGCUGUCCAUUUGAUGAUUAAGGAGGAGUCAUCCCCAACGCUUACGGCAUCUCAAUUGGAUUAACAACACUCAAAUCUUCAAAGGAUAAAACCGUGUUGAAUCCACGCCGUCGCAGAUAAUUCUUGGUGGCUCAGCUCGCUCGGUGACGAUGAAUGAUAGGCCUUCCUCAUUCCACACGUCGGACCAAGCUUGAACCACCCCAGACGGUCAAAUACAUCUCGAGGCAAUGGCCCUCACGCAAUGGCAAACCACUACUGUUACGGCAUCCAACACAUCAUGCGCAUGAAUCCUCCUUGCUUGUUAGGUUUGGCACCCAACUGUUCUCCUCCCUCCCUGUUCCCUCCUCCAUUGGCCUGACCAUGUGGGAAGCUCAACAACAAGUUGUGGACACACCGCACAGCAUGGCAUUGCUUCGGGAUUUGUUCUUCCUUGCAGUAAAAGCAUCUAAAACAUGCAACCAUCAAGCGACCACGACAAUUUCUUCCUCCUCUGUGCACACAAACGGGAGCUUCACGGUGAUCAUGCAUCUUGCGCUUUCUCUCUCCUUUGAUAGCUUGGUGAUGAGGUUUUCAGCUACGCUCAUCCAAUCUAGAAUUGAUGUCUUCCAUCUAAGAAAAAGGCGAAGAUGGUAGGGAACAAAACAGACUUGCCUUUUCUAAACCAUUAAUGUGUGUUUGUGCGUGUGUGUGUGUGUGUGUGUGUGUGUGUGUGAGAGAGAGAGAGAGAGAGAGAGAGAGAGGUCUUAAACCUCUCUCAGUAUGACAGCACAGUAGCGAGUUAUUGGGUGGGUAUUCUUGUGACGUUUGUCAUACAUAAUCCUUGAGGCCAUGCCUCUGUUUGGACCAAUACAUGAAUUAUCUGCAUUCUCAUCUGCAAUCAUGGAAGGGAAUAGUAGCUCAACUAUUAGUGAGCAAUGGCACCAGUGAGAGUUGGAUCCAGUUACAUACGAUGCAUUCCGACAGUCCUUGGCCUUCUCUUGUGGUUGUGGUUUCACUUUCAUGUGUCCCAAUGAAUGGGAGCCUUGCAUUUCCAUGAAGCAGAAACAUCCAUUCCUAAAACCUUUGGACUCAAACUCAAGACAGGACGUGAAGUCUUCGCCUGCUUCUUCUCCGGUAAAUUCAUCGUCCUACAACAGAACCAGUCUCGGCAACACUACCAUUGGCUACAAUUACAGACGGCUCUUUUUGUCUGAACACCAAGGAAAAUGGAGAGGAUAGUUUGUCGCAGAUUUAUGAUCGCCAUGGUCCACAGGCAUGCCGAUGCAGCUCCUCCGUAGUAGAAAGGCAUGAGGAAGGCAACUGCGACCUUAAUGAAAGCUGCAACUUGUAGGUCAACAAGCAAAGGCCACGAGGUCCGGACCAUUGAACGAGAUGAAGGAGAGGUCGUACAGCAGCCGAAGCUUAUUAUGAUGACACCGAGCUACUGUCUUCUCAACUCAGCAGUCGAGGUGAUCAUUGCUUGAAAUCAAUGGAUCUUUACAGGUCCAUGUUUAGAAGGGAAUAACGAGCGACCAAUCAAGAAGAAGACGUGAUCCACCUGAUAAUUGAGCUGAAUCCGAUCUCCGAUCGGCUCAACCUAACAGGAUAGUUGGAUCAGAUUUCUUGAUAAGCAAGUUGAUUAGCUUUGCACAACCACGUACGAUAAAUCUAAGAUCAAAGUCUCUGCUCUUCCUGAAAACGAGGAUAUAUUUGGGGUCCUUUCGCUCCCUUUUCUGCUCACUGUAGCAAAAGCCUUGCUGAUGGCAUCGUUGUGAUCUCAUAUGCCAUAUGCAAUGUCACUCAUCAAUAGGAUGACGGCCACAACUACCGCAUGAUAAUAAGAGGAACAGAAGAAGAUGCCGGAGGGUUUGAGUGGGCAAGCACUUGUUCCUUUUCCAGGACGCGCAGCUGCCCUCUCUCUGGGUUUGGUCUCUCCAUUCUCAUCAGCUGCAGACGUCCACAUCCAACUAAACUGUGGGUGGAAGCCUGCUCCGAGCCAUGGACCAAGCAAGGGAUGUCGAUCACCCAAAAAGGAGAGAGAAAAAGAGGCCGGGGGGGGAGGGGUAAGGGAAAGAGGCUUUCAUGAGGUCGCGUGGUCUUUAUCCCAAACCCUUAGCUCUAUAUAUUUUUGAUCCUCUUCCCCAUCACCUAUUGUUCAGACCUUCCCCUUCUCCUUUUCUCUCAGGCUGAGUGAAGCCAUGUCUAAACAGGAAGCUUUUCCUUUGAGGGGAAUGUUGUCUGGUUCGGGACAACUGUGGAAGAGACCUCGGACCAGGCUUCAUUCCCCCCAAUCGCAGCUUCCAUCUCCACCAACUCAGUGGUAAUGUGUAUUCCUAUCUCAGAUCUGGUUUUGAGUCCCUCUUUGCUUCUUGGUCAGGUUGUGAUUUACUUCUCCCUCUCUCUCUCUCUCUCUCUCUCUCUCUCUCUCUCUCUCACACACACACACACACACACACACAAACACACGAGGAUUUAC